rnacentral:rRNA from 1 species
ACAUGCCUACAACACAACAUUAAUGCACCGGAUCCCAUUAUAAUUAUGCAAUUAAGCGUGCUCAAGCUAGAGUAGAACUGGGAUGGGUGAUCACCCAGGAAGUCCUAGUGUUUUACAUGCC